GCGUCAGGACCAAGUGUCUGUGCUGGAGGAUGUUUUCUGGUAGAUGUGUAAGUUAACAAAAGCAAAUAAUGGGAUUUACACCAGUGAAAGCAAGAUUUUAAGAGAGAAUGAACUUUCUCAUCAAUAUUUGUAUCAAGGAUUCUGAAGUGAAGCGUGGAGGGGGUUGGGAAGUAAUUUGAUUUUCUCUCAGCUCAAGGAAUAACGUCAUCCCUUUGGAUAUUAAUGCACAGGAUCAUGUGCUGGGUGUUCUGGCAAGGACAGGAACGUGCACCGAGGGUGCUCUUGCUCUGUCAAGGCUUUGUUUGAAGAGCAGUCUGAGAACAUCAGUGUGUAUUGGGGUGAGGUACUCCUAAAACAUAUUUAACGUUCGUAAAAACUGCUUUUCUCUAAACAUUUUCAAUCACCUUUUGAAUUAACCUGGACAAAACAAUCAGUUUUCCCUCUUAGCCCUGUUUUCAAGCUGUCCCUGCUACAGAUGGGGUUCUAAGUCACACCUCUGUUUGGCAAGUAUUUUCAUUUCAGACUUCUAAAAGUUUUUAAUUCAAGAUGACGUUGAGCUGUUAUAAUGCAGAAAUUGGCUUUAAGGUGACAUCAGGAGCAGUUAGAGAAACCCACUGCUUUCUGAUGGGGAAAACAACAUGUGUUUUAAGUGGCCUUUUGGUGAGGCACUUUACAAUGUCAGGAGAAGGGCCAUAAUCUUAAUGAGUUUUGUUUCUAAUAAUCCCUGUGCACAUGAGCUGAUGUAAUUUAGGACUUAACAGAAAAAGCACAAGAUAGUACUUUUGACAGUACUUUUUUUUGGAGCUAUUAACUGUUAGGAUGGAUGAAAACAUCACUGUUUAAUCAGAAUUAUAAAUAUUAGGGUCUCAUUGUAAAUCAGCAUAGCUGUGGUCCUAUAUUUUAUUUUUAAGUUAUCAAGAGGAAGAAAUGUAUGUCUGCCUACAGUGAUCCUGACAGACUUCUCUUCUGCUUUCAGGUCAGAAGUUACAUCUGUGGAGCACAACCAGUCAUUUAACAGGUUUAACGACUGUAGCUGCUGUGACUGCUACAACUUGCCAGCUGGCUAAAGGUGAAAUGUAUUUCAGUACAAACAACUGGUAAGUGGCACAGUGCUGGCUGGAGAUGGAAAAUAUCCCUGUUCCUACACAGAGACUGAACACUCCAUAGAGGGGAAAUGAUUCCAAACCAGUUGGGCUUUGAAUGUAAAAUACGGGCAGCUCAAAAUUGUACAUUGUGACUUAAAACUGUUCUGACACCCCAAUUUCUAUAUUGCAUUAAAAUUCCAUAACUCUCAACUGCUUGGUAAAAGUUGGAGGGAAAACUUAUAAUUAUACUUUAUUAUUAAGUCUACUUGUUUCUCUCCAACUCAAUUUAAUACAAAAUCGAAGUGUUGGCCAGUUCAGGGCCCUCACUGAACUUUUUGGAGGAGUGUAAACCUAUGGAGUUUGAGCACCCAAGAGCCAGAACUCUUCUCCAAGGUGGUGGUUGUCUUAUAAACAGACUUUUCAAGCUUACUGCAUUCUUUCCCUCCUGCAGUCCUACAUGUUCCCAGUCUCUAACUGCUGCUGCACUGGUGUGCCCAGUGAGCCCCUUGCUGUAGCAACAAAAAAAAAAACACAUGGAAAUGCUCUUUGGGAUGGCAAGUUUAGCUUAGUCAGAGUGAAAAUGGAGCCAUUCAUGAGUGGUAAAACUGGUCAACCACUGCUUGGUAAGCGCUGACAGUGUAAACUUGACAUAUGUGCCCAGGCCUAAAAGGCAGAAGACCCAAAGCAGCUGGUGAGCUAAAGCACUUCAAAGAGCAGCUGCUGAGUGAGAAGAACUGCAAAAAAAGGAAGCAUUGGGCUCCUAGGAAGAGGUAGUAGGUUGCAUAGUUUUAGGGCAGGGAUUUUGCUCACAAGGAGGUAACUAUACAACCUGCUGCCUUUCUUAGGGCUUUAUUAUAACACCGGCACCACUUGGGCUCCAGCCUACAAACCUCUGCAGCUCUGGCACGUGGAGACAAAGGACAAGGUGUUCCCAAGUGUGGUGAGGCUUAAUGAGACCUGUGUGUUGGCAACUUUGGUCCCAAACUGAAGUGUAGGACCCAUAGCUGGAAUGCAGCGUGGUGGAACACUGCAUUUUGGGAUGUUGGGCCGGGAUAUCCUUGGAUUUUGGUAAGUAAGAGGCUGUGUUGGGAGGCCAGCUCCUUGCAGAGGAAGCUUGGAGUCCCCCUGUGAUUAGGGUGGAGGUGGUAUGAACUUCUGAACAUGGAGACACUGAUCCUGUGUGCUCCCUAAACCACCCCUUCCUUUGGUUUGCUGCAUUUCAGGUGGAAAAACCUCCGGUUUUCCUUCCCCUAAAGAACGAGAUCCCAGCUCGGCCAAAAGCUGCUGCUUUCUCAGCAGGCCUAGGCACUCCUAGGAAAACCCAGGAAACCCUAGGUUCUCGGGGCUGGAUUAUUUGCAGUCUUGCAGAAGGGAAGUUUUCAGUUAGAAAUGAUGCUUUGUCUCUCAUGGAAUUAUUAACAAUGAGUCCAUCUUUUCUUGCACUGCAGCAAUAGUUCAGGGAGCUGUGGGAUACAGAGGCUUAAACAGCUGAGCACCUUGGAGCAGGAAUAUGUUGUGCCUAAACCAGCCACUAUUUAAACUUUUGAUAAAUCAGAAUCCUAGAGGGUAAACAUGUUACUGUGCUUCUAUUGAAUGUCCUGUAUGAAUUUAACUGUACAUUUCUUGAUUUCCUUAAUAAAACACAGCAUUUUGUGCAA